GGGGGUGUAGCUCACUUGGUAGAGCGCUUACUUGGCAUGUAUGAGGCCCUGGGUUCCAUCCCCCACUGCUG
rnacentral:tRNA from 1 species